rnacentral:misc_RNA from 1 species
UCUCCGUAGGUGAACCUGCGGAGGGAUCAUUACUGAGUGAGGGUCUCCGGGCCCGACCUCCAACCCUUUUGUGAACCAACGCGUGGGCCGAGUACGGGUUCAUACCCCGAAGGCUCGCGAUCUUCUUUUUAUACAUAUAUACCCCCGAGAAAGUCUCAGAAUGUGCACUGCGUUAACUCGCAUAAAUACAACUUUCAGCAACGGAUCUCUUGGCUCUCGCAUCGAUGAAGAACGCAGC